AAUCAACGCUGGCGGCGUGCCUCAGACAUGCAAGUCGAACGAUUAAAGCUCUCUUCGGAGAGUGUAUAGAGUGGCGCACGGGUGAGUAACACGUAAGUAAUCUACCUUUGAGUGGGAGUAACGUCCGGAACGGACGCUAAUACCGCAUAAUGCAGCGGCAUCGCAAGAUGACAGUUGUUAAAGAUUUAUCGCUUGAAGAGGAGCUUGCGGCAGAUUAGCUAGUUGGUAAGGUAAUGGCUUACCAAGGCUACGAUCUGUAACCGGUCUAAGAGGACGGUCGGUCACACUGACACUGAAUAACGGGUCAGACUCCUACGGGGAGGCAGCAGUCGGGUAAUUUUGGGCAAUGGGCGAAAGCCUGACCCAGCAACGCCGCGUGAAGGAUGAAGUAUUUCGGUAUGUAAACUUCGAAAGAAUGGGAAGAAUAAAUGACGGUACCA
rnacentral:rRNA from 1 species